rnacentral:lncRNA from 1 species
UCUCUCUUUUUUUUUUAUUAUCAAAUUUUAAACUGACAAACGUAUGUGUGAUUUAGGCGAUUGCAAGACACGCCAGAAGGCUCAUUUCAUUUGCUGCAGCUGAUGCCAAGAGCUGAUCUCAUUUACAUUAUUUUUACAGCAGUACAACUCUACUGACGUUGUUUGGCUUCCUGUUUGGUGAGGCUGCACACAGAGUCCUCUGCUCUAGAAGUGAUCAGAAACUUGUCUCACUUCCAACCCUUGGCUUUGUUCCCCCCAGUCCUGUGUGCAUGUGUGUAUGGUUUGGUCGCAGUCACGGUGUGAAGCGUCUGUGGGAAGGGAAUGUCCCCCUGCAGCCAUUUCAGUCACAGAUGUUCUGAAUGCUGGGGCUGCGCAUUAGGAUUUGUGCUGGUAAGGAGCUGUAUCAUCCUCUAUUUAGUACAUCGGAAGUUUUGGGGAGAAGAUUGCAAAAACACAGCUUUUGUUUCCCUUAUACGACUACUUCUGUAAAAGAAUGAAUGAAAAUAAUAUAAAUGCAUGAAGAAUAACAAAGAAAAGAAGUGACACCUCACCAUAAUUCAAAAAGCCAGAAAGAAACUCCAAUACUGGCUUAUAUUUGUCAAGCUGCUAAAUGGUUAAGACAGAGUAAAAAAAAAAAUACAUUCAAACUUCUCCUUAAUACAUAUGCAGAUAAUUAAAGAGGAACAGCUAAAACACUUAUGAUACAGGAUGUGAACUGGAGUUCCCCAUUUUCAUUGAGUCCUACGGAUUGCAAGGGCAUGAUGGUCUAUUAAUCAAAAGCAAAACACUACACAGUGACUGAAGAGAAGCCAAAGGUAGAAACAAAGGAAACUCCCUCGUGCUGAUUCCACAGUUCCUCUUCAAGUGGUGCCUGAACUGCAGGAGGCAGCUUAAAUCAUCUGCUGUAUUGCUCUGCUUCUGUCGGGGGCUCCGUUGCCUCCCACGGCAGUUUUCCUGUGAAGUAAGUGUGAACCACUGGCCAAAAAUAUUCCUUCUUGCUCUGUUAGAUAGACUGUCAUCAAUUCCAGCUUCUUGUAAGGAAAUGUACAGUGAUAGCAGAUAAGCUACUGUGGCCCACAUGUGUACUGCUAGCAGAUAAGCUACUGUGUGUGACCCAAAUAUGGUUUCUUGUUAAGAAGAAAGAAGAUAUGAAAAAUACUGUGGGCACAUUAACUAUGAAGAAGGCUUAGAAGAAGGUCAGUAUUUUGCUUAAACACAGACAUUCUGUUUGUAGUUAAUACAAUUGGAAUUUGUGAAAGACCCAAACAAACAUAAAGGUGCAAACUGUGAUGGAAUGAUCUCCUGAUGGGCUGUGAGUGUGCUUUAGUGCUGGAGAUAAGAGACUGAUGGGAGGCAGGGGGACAACAAAGUCCUUCUGGUAAGUGUAUUGUUUAUCUUUCCCCAGACUGUCAGCAGGACUGUUAAUGAGAUGGCAAUUGCCAUCUGCAUGUCUAAGAGAUACCACAUGGGCACAUGUGGUAUCUCUUAG